CCGGGAAGUUCUUGUGCAUGAAGCAAGACUUUAAGUUUAAAGUCACAGUGGAGCCACUGAGCAGUGAGACUAAGCGUACUCGUCAGGCUUACAUCUGAAGACCAAACAUCUGUGGUGAAGUUCAUCGCGGAGUGGUUAUGAAGAAGCUCGUGAAUAUGAUCUGUCAUACGGUUGUAUAACUCCGAAUUACUUUAGGCACUGAUAGAACUGUUCUGUAAUGACGGAAGAUCAGCGCAGAAUUCACCAGACUUGUGUCGAUGGACCUGAGCAAGUCCUUUUAUGAGGGUCUUGACAAACACGCCUCAAAGCUGCUGUAUUUGUACCGCUCGAGGCGCCAUGCAGACAUCGCAGAAAGGAGUGCCAUACUGGAGAGCCUGGAUAAAAAUGCAUCAAAUCACAGGAAGAGGGUUGCAGUACUGCUGGGGCUGCCACUGUCCAUGCGGGAGAAUCCAUCUCAGUUCUUACAGAUCUGUGAGCACACAGAUUCUGAAGAAGAGUUAAUCAAGGGCGUGACUGUUGGAAUCAGUACAGUUGUGGAUGACGCGAUGGACCCUAUUCCGUGUGACUGCAGUGAUGUAGCCCUUGUAAUGGAAGAAGUUGUCGUUCUACGCAAUCUUGGUGAUGUACCAAAUGCAUUUGUCAACUUGAUGGGAUUGCUUUAUGCACGUAACAUAAAC
ensembl:lncRNA